AUAUCAAUAAGCGGAGGAAAAGAAACUAACAAGGAUUCCCCUAGUAACGGCGAGUGAAGCGGGAAGAGCUCAAAUUUAAAAUCUGGCAGUCUUUGGUUGCCCGAAUUGUAAUCUAGAGAAGCGUUUUCCGUGCUGGACUGUGUACAAGUUUCCUGGAUACGGAACAUCAUAGAGGGUGAGAAUCCCGUCCUUGACACAGACCCCCAGUACUUUUGUGAUGCGCUCUCGACGAGUCGAGUUGUUUGGGAUUGCAGCUCAAAAUGGGAGGUAAAUUCCUUCUAAAGCUAAAUAUUGGCGAGAGACCGAUAGCGAACAAGUACCGUGAGGGAAAGAUGAAAAGCACUUUGGAAAGAGAGUUAAACAGUAC
rnacentral:rRNA from 1 species